UUUUAGAUGUGUCCAGAGCCCCAUGUCUAAAUAUUACAAGAAAUUAACUUUUUAAGCUCCAAGGUCCGAGAUAGUCGCCAUGAUUACAGUUCUACACUUUAGAACUCCCAAGCAAAUUGGACCCUAGGAGGCACAAUAUCCUAAUCCUAACUAGAAUAUACCUAAGCCUAACCACCCAAGAAAAUAAAAGGAUAAAUAUACAGCAUUUUCUAUGGCCCUACAUCUCCACCCUAGGACAAAAUCAUUCAACUUUCUGAGCAAAUUGCUGCUGUAUCCCUGAGGAGCGACCUCAAAUUGGCCCU
rnacentral:misc_RNA from 1 species